CUUCCUCUCUUCUUUGAUUUGAAACAAGGUUGGAGGGGCGUAAUGCACACCGCAUUACACAGAGUUUCCACAUGGGUGCUUGGUAGCAUGAGGCCUGAUUAGAGGCCUAAGUGAGCUCUAAAAAUAAGCUGAACCCUUCGCAGAAUCGUGCGCGUUGGGUUUCUGCAGGACAUGCAAUGAAGACACCUGUGCUGAGGAUUUCUUGUCAAGCAGGUCUGCACGCUGUGGCGAGAAAAGAAAAUCCUUGCCCCUACAGGAUGUCGAACACAAGGCUUUCACCCCGUAAUCACAUACUACACUGACUGAGCUAUCCAGGCCCGUAUAUUCUGGUAACUAGAGCUACACAAGUGACUGAUCUAGUGCUACUGAAGAAUCCGUAUAACCUAUAUUCUGGAAACUGUUGGAACAAUUUGUGAACGGUAGGAGGGUCUACUUUGUUAACCCCUGAUGCUCUGAACUCAAAUUGUGAAGUACAUGACAUUUAUGUUUAGUCACAUUAUAGCACAUACAUGUUUGAAACCCGUGACACACAACAUUCAUAUAUUUCCUUAUACGGCAGUUUGGAGUUUCAGCUACUGUCACACGAUUUUAUCACAAGUUGGAGUAGGUAUAUGAAGUAAAGGAGAUGAGAUGGACGGAGCAUAUAGAGCGCAGAAAUUACCCAUCUUUCUCUUAACUUACAGGGCAUCCACUUACGACAUUACGGACUUGACCACAGCUAGCCUAGUGUUCGGGAGAGAACUCCGACUGCCCUGCGAACUCCUCUUUGGGGCACACCCCAUUGAAGAACGACUCACAAUCGAUAACUUUAGUCGAUCGUCUACACGACAUCCACAACUAUGGCCCCCAACACCUGAGGCUGGCCGGUGACCGGAUGAAAACUUGUUGCGACAGACUAGUCAACUGCGCGGGCAACCACAAAGGCGACAAAGUGUGGCUCUGUCACUUACUCGCACGAAGAUGAAAUCGCCUAAGCUCCAAUCCUCAUUGGAGGGCCCAUACAAGGUACUCACCCGGAUAAAUGAUGUGAUAUACAGGAUCCAGCGGAACCCUAGAUCAAGGUUGAUAGUGGUACACCUGGACCGGCUCGCAUCUUAUCGGGUAGCCGCUCGAGACGAACGGCCUUAAGAAAGCAGAGGAAGCAUUUGGAGAGUAAACACCAUGUAAAGUCCAGCCCAGGACGAAUAGCGUUAAAGAAGGAGCACUGGGGCGUAUAGUUCAUUGCUAAGUGUUGACUUUGUUAACACCCGCAACAUGCACGCAAAAUAGUUGAACGGUGUUUUAUGUGGUCCGUGGCCCUUUCUGAGCAUGGGCUCGGUAAACACAUUCUCGCGGCAACGGACACGAAGACAAAACAGAAGAACGGUGCUAUCUGUAUGGUACGUGCUGAGAUGUUAUAAGAAAGGGGCGAAGUUAGUUGCUAGUUGAGUUCUGUACGGGAGACUGUGAAGCAAAUAGUUAGUUGCAAGAGUGCUCUGUAGAAAGUCUGGCUGUGAAGAGAAGAAUUUAUAUGUGAUAUUUGUCAUGUGUAAUUUAAUGAGAAUGUUGUAGUUCCUGUGGUAAAAUUCGUUGCGAGGAAACGGCUAGAGGAGACUGUAAUAGACUGAAGACACUAGUCUGUGUGUGUCAGUGACCUGUAAAGUGUAGCCACGAGUAGUGUGGAUAAAAAUGGCCAAUCCGAACGCCGUCUCUAGUCACACAUACACAUGACAGUAGAUACAAAAUUGAAAGAUUUACGUGUAGGGAAGCAGAUAAUAUUACAACUGAUCUUACUUUAAUAGUGUGUAAGGAUACUGGUUUGAUUCAUUUGGCCGAGGGUAGAGUCUAUGGCAGGCUGUUAUUAGCAUGAUACUGAACCUCAGGGUUUCAUGAAGGGCAGAAAUUUUGUGACAUGUUUUCAGCAAAGACUUAAUCUAUGGAUUUUUUUUUAUUUCUAGUAAGGUGGGAUUAAGUCCCUUGUACUGCGGCCACUUCUGGCCUAUUGUACC